rnacentral:lncRNA from 1 species
GUGACCACAAAAAACUAACUCUCCUCCGAACACAACACAACAAAGCUCUCACUUUUUAUCAGUUAUCAAAAUCCAACAUAAAACCUCCAUCAAAUCAAACAAUAGAUCUCAUUUACAAAAUCUUUACAAGAAACCCUCUUAAAACGAUCGCCCAAAAAAGUUAAAAAUCAACUCUUUUUUGAUCCAUCGAUACGGAAAAGAGAAAGAAAAGGGCACAAGAUUUAAAGAGAGAUAAAAAGGAAAAAAAAUGCAAAGCGGGGGAUCGAGUAACAAGCUAUCCAGUAUGAUUACUAGGACCAGGAUAUCAUCUAUAUUGCUUUCAAUGUUUACGUAGCUGGCAGGUUAGUGUUCUUAGAUUUUGUAUAUUGACAAUUGUGUUUGAUUCACUGCUAUGUGAUUUUUUUUUUUUGGUAAAAAAAUGAAUUUUUUAACGUUCAAUUUGGUAAAAAUGUGAUUUUUUUUUAUCUGGGCUGGUGAUAGAUUGUGGCAGGAUGCUCAGACCAGAGUUCGUUUGAUUAAAGAGCCGGAUAGAAUCACUGGUCAUGUGAUUUUUUUUUUUUGCUUUUUAAAUUAUUGUCUGGGUGAUUUUGGUUUAGAAAGUUACCUGUCUAAAUGCGGUUAAUCACAAAUUUGAAUUUCACUAGUCAUUUGGUGUAUAUUGUAUAUGACUAUUAAGUGGUUGAUUGAUGUUUAGGGCAAAUCUGCUAUAUCAGUGGAUGAUACUCUGGAAAUCAUAGCAUGCAGGAAAAUAUAAUCCCUGUUGAACAUUCCCAUAAUGCAAUUCAGUAAAGCAUGGAUGGGAACUGGUAAACUAUUUCUUUCUUUCUAUUCCUUGCCUCCUUUUUUCCUAUGUGCAAGAUUGGCUUUGUCCAGGUGUUUUUUUUUUUUUUUGGUGCAUAAACGGCAUUGUUGUAUUCAUUAUAGUUCAUUUGUCCAGUAUUUAGAGUUCCAGAUGCUGAACAGGAUUAAUCACAGGACAUUAACAUAAAUAAAAGAUUUGUUGUAUAGUUACGGGAAUUUAAGGUUAUUAUGUUAAGGUAGAAGUUAGUUUUUAAAGGGAACCCUAAGGAUUACCAGCACAGCACCAUGCUGCAAAAUAUGCUCAUUUGAUAUAGUUAAAAGGUGUAACUUUUCUUUAGGGAAGAGAAGUUUUAUAUCACAUUCAAACUCAUUUAAUAUAUGUUAAUGUUGACAAAUAUUACAUCAAACUGUUAAAAUUUUUAGACAUAAAGUUAUAUGGCGCCAAAGGUAGGGCAGACAAGUGAGUACUCGUUGCUGUUGCUAAAAUGCUUGCAAUGGAGGUGUCAAGUUGUUUACCAGAUUGGAAAGCAAGCUCUGUGGAAACACUAAUUAGAUGCUUUUGUUAGUUUUGUAGGAAGUGUGUUAAGGAAUAUUAAUGGAUAAUUUUACUGUCAUUCAAGAGAAUUACCUAACAAUCUCACACUUCAUGGGCAUUUUCAGACUGAUGCAACAAGCAUUGGUGCAUAAUAUGUCUGAAUUUGUAAAGAAUUGCUCUAGCAUGAUGUAUUUAAUAGUCUACUGGUUAGAUCCUCAGGUUCAGCUAACUCAACCUAAUGAAGGAAAAAACAUUCCUCUUCUUUUUUUGUUCUCUCUAGCCGGGCUAUGCUAAAGGGAUACUACACAUCUACUUGUUGAAAAUCUGUACAAGGCUUCUAGAAAUUGGUGAAAAUUAGUAUAAGACUUUUAGAAAUUUGGUGCCGUCAUUGACAUUUUGAUUUGGUAAUUGCUGACUAUUGACAAAAUGAAAUGGAGGUGGAUGAGUUAGGUGGCUGCCAAACCUAACUUGUGGAAUUUGUUAGCUAACAAUUGGCUAUAAAAAGGGAGCCAUGCAAAUGAGUUUUGCAUCUCAUUUUGAGUGCAUCCGAGAGUUUAUAAAAGAGAGAAAAUAAGUUUCUCUUUAUAAUAAUUUGUUUUCAAUAUUUAUAUAUGAGAGUGUGUGUAAUAAAUUGGGUCUUGGGUAGUGAUGAAUUUAUCUCAAAAUACUUGUAAUUCUCCCUGUAUAGUGAAAAAAUUAUCCUUUUUGUAAGAGUCUUGUUCACCCUCUUUGUCACUCCAUUUUGUUGGGGAGUGUAUGCCACCGUGAACUGCCUCUGAAUACUUUCUUGCUUACAGAAAGCAAGAAACUCGCCGUCUGUAUACUCUCCACCAUUAUUUGUCCUCAACCACUUGAUCUUUUCCUGGAUUCAAGUUCUACCCGCGUUUUGUAUUGUUUGAAUACUGGAAACACAUCUGACUUUUUCUUGAUUGGAUACACUCAACGUUUCCUAGAAUAAUCAUUAAUAAAAGUCACCAAGUACUUUACUCCUCUCAUGGAUAUAUCCGGUGAUUCUCAAACAUCAGAAUGAACCAAGUCUAUAAUACAUUUACUUCUGGAAACAGAUCUGCUAAAUUUUAAUCUAUUCUGCUUACUUGUAAUACAAUGCUCACUGAAUGGUAAACUUAGUGAUUUGAGUCCCGGAAGUAAGUUCCGCUCAGAGAGAAUUUUCAAACCUUAUUCCACAUGUGGCCAAGUUUGAGAUGUCUUAUCAUCGUCGACUCUUCUCCAUUUAAUGCGACACACGCAUCAGUUUUCCUGUAGUGUUUCAUCUUUAAGCAUGAAUAGCUUCGCACCGAUCUUUUCUGCCUUCAUUAAUACAAGCGCGUCUUUAACAAUCUUCAUGAUCUCAUUUUCUACAUGAGUUUUAUACCAACGACUAUCCAUUUGUCCUAAAGACAAUAAAUUCUUCCUCAAGCCUUUGACAUGUCGUACCUCCUCAAUUGUGCGAAUUGUACCAUCAAACAUUUUUAUAUUGGUUGUACUAAUACCAUCGAUCUCUAAGGCAUAAUCAUCACCCAUAUAUACAGAUCCUCCUGAGAUAGAUUUAAUGUGUAGAACCAUUCUCUCCGAAAGGUCAUGUGCCAGGUGGCUCCUGAGUAUAUAAGUCAGACGUCAGAUAACCGUUUUCUGCCUUCUAAACCAGUUGUUGCCUCGCUGUAGAUAAUUUCGCCAUCAUCCGAGGUACUUGCUACACACCUCUGAGCAUUUGAUGACUCAGGUUCUUUGCCCUCUCAUCUCUUCUGGCUGUUCCAACACUCUUUCUUGACGUGCCCUUUUUUGCCACAGUUGUAGCAUUUAACAUUUUUCUUACUUUUGGAUUUUGAUCUACCAUGAUUGUGACUCCCAUUGGGGCCACGUUCCGUUGAUCUCCCUCUCGUCACUGAUAACGCUUCUGCCUGCUGCGAACUUACCAGUAUGUCUUCCUUGUUUUUUCGCCUACUUUCCUCAUUUAAUACGGAGGUUGCAACAUCGUCGAAAAUUAGACUGUUCAUUGAAUUGUUGUUCGUCAGGUUAAUGAUGAGUUAAUCAUAUGAAUCUAGUAGACUUUGAAGUAGAAGUUCCGCAUGUUCAUUUUCCUCUAUAUUAUGACCCAACGUUGUGAGUUGUGAAAAUAUAGUUUUCAAGGUGUUGACGUAGUCAGUUUAAGGAUGGCAAAAACCGGGUCCGGGUCCGGGUCUGGCCUUUCCGGUUCCGGACCCGGAUGCCAAUUCUCCUUCCCGGAUCCGGAUAUAAACCCGCAUUUUCUUUCUCCGGGUCCGGUACGGAUUCAACCCGGAAAAAUUCGGGUUUCCGGAUUGCGGGUUUUGAACCCGGAAACUUGGAGGCUGGAAUAAUAAAGCCUUUGUGCAUGCCCCUUUUGACUCUGUACAAGAGUGGAUUAGCGGUUUAUUUGAGGUGUUGGUUGAGACACCGGCGAGUCCAAGAGGCAGUAGCCAUGAAAGCAGUGAGCAAGGUUUGAGAUCCAGCAUCCACGAACAAGAGAGAGAUGAGAUCGAGCGCCAACAAGAGUAGAUUAGCAGUUUCUUUAAGGUGUCGGUUGAGGCACCAGCGAAUCGAGGAGGUGGCAGCCAUGAGAGUAGCGAGCAAGGUUUGAGAUCCAGUAUCCAAGAACAAGAGAGAAAUGAGAUCGAAUUUGAUGAGAGAUGAGAGAUAAGGUUGAAUUUGAUGGUGCCAAAGAUUGUUUGUUGCUUUUGAUGAUGAUCGAUGAUGAAUUGACAAUGAUUUAAAUUGAUGUUGAGGAUGAUAUUGAUUGUUAUUAUUGUUGAUAAUGAAUUGACGAUGGGUGGAUGAUGAUGAAUUGAAUUGAUGUUGAGGAAGAGGAAAAUAAAGGUGGCGGUUGGGGUGGGGAUUUAGGGUUUCUUUUCGUUUCUUUCCUUUUUUUUUUUUUACUUUUGGCUUUUAUAUUUAUAUUUAAUAAUAAAAAUUAAUUAAUUAAUUAAUUAUUAAUAUUUUAGUGCGCGUCCGGGUUUUCGGAAUCCGGGUUCGGUUAAACCCGCAACCGGACCCGCAUGUAUCUGGGUUUGAAAAAAUGCUACCCGGAUCCUCAUUUUUAUGCACCCGGGGUGGGUUUAACCCGGACCGGAUCGUCCGGGUUUAUCCGGGUCCGGGCCGGGUCCUGAAAAAUUUACCAUCCCUAAGUUAGUUACUAAUAUAGAUUCCACCAUUCGAAGGGUAUAGAGUUUUCUUUUUAAGAAGAUCUUGUUGUGCAGCGUUUUGGCCUCUUACAAUUUUGUAAGAGUAUCCCAUACUUUCUUUGCUAUCUUUUUCUCUGUCACAUUAGAUAAUACUCUAUCUGCAAGUGCCAAGUGUAGAUAAAAAAUGGUGUUGCCGUCUAUCUCGUUCUAUUUGUCAUCAAUUAUCUCUAUGGGCCUUUCUCCAAUUGCUGCCAAGCAAUUAUUUUUCCUCAAUACAACUUUUAUCUUCAUUUUCCACAACGAAAAAUUAUUUCCGUUGAACUUCUCAAUUUCGUAUUUUCCCGCCAUCGCUUUUCACCACAAAUUAACUUUGCUAGGAUCAGCUUCCACCGUUUCACGUGAACAGUAAUCGUAUACGGGAACAGUACUGUAUACGUGAAUAGUACUUUUACCUUAACAGUACCACAGACUCCAAAAAAUACAACCAGUUGCUUUGAUACCACUAUUAAGAAUUUGAUGGGUAAAGCAGACCACAGCUAACAUGAAANNNNNNNNNNNNNNNNNNNNNNNNNNNNNNNNNNNNNNNNNNNNNNNNNNNNNNNNNNNNNNNNNNNNNNNNNNNNNNNNNNNNNNNNNNNNNNNNNNNNUCGUCACACAAGAGGACACCGUAGUUUACGUGGUUUGACUUUUUAGCCUAAGUUCACAGGUAAAGAUAAAAAGAUAAAAUUUUCACUAUAUAGGAAGAAUUACAAGUAUUUUGAGAUAAAUUCCUCACUAUUCAAAACACAAUUUGUUACACCCACACUCUCAUAUAUAAAUAUUGAAAACAAAUGCUUACAAAGAGAAACUUAUUUUUCUCUCUUUUAUAAGCUCUUGGAUGCACUCAAAAUGGGAUGCAAAACUCAUUUGCAUGGCUCCCAUUUUAUAGCCAAUUGUUGGCUAACAAAUUCCACAAGUUAGAUUUGGCAACCACCUAACUUAUCCACCUCCAUUUCAUUUUGUCCAUAGUCGGCAAUUACUAAAUCAAAAUGUCAAUGACGGCACCAAAUUUCUAAAAGUCUUGCACUGAUUUUCAACAAUUUCUAGAAGUCUUGUACUAAUUUUCAACAAUUCUCCCACUUGGAGAUUUGAUGAUUUUCAACAAUUCUCCCACAAGUUAGGUGGCUACCAAACCUAACUUGUGUAAUUUGUUAGCCAACAAUUGGCUUUAAAAGGGAAGCCAUGCAAAUGAGUUUUGCAUCUCAUUUUGAGUGCAUCCGAGAGCUUAUAAAAGAGAAAAAAAUAAGUUUCUCUUUAUAAGCAUUUGUUUUCAAUAUUUAUAUAUGAGAGUGUGGAUGUAAUAAAUUGGGUUUUGGGUAGUGAGGAAUUUAUCUCAAAAUAUUUAUAAUUCUCCCUAUAUAGUAAAAAAAUUAUCCUUUUUAUUUUUACAUGUGGACGUAGGCUAAAGAUCGAACCACAUAAACUACGGUGUCCUGUUGUAUGCUUAUUCUUCAUUUUUCUUCCAAUUUCAUUUUAGUUGUGGCCCUACUUCACUCAUCAAUUUCCUAACACUACUUUCACUUUUAAUUUCUCUUUGCUGUUAAAGAAAUAGAAAAUUAAAGAACUACAAAAGAAAUAAUCGGUAGCCUCAAUGUGAUUCUGCAGAGUGCAAAUGAGACCAGUAUUCCUUUACUAGCUGCCCGA